GACGUAGGAGGCGAGCGUUGUCCGGAUUCAUUGGGCGUAAAGAGCGCGCAGGCGGCUUGGUAAGUCGGGUGUGAAAACCCCAGGCUCAACCUGGGGACGCCACCUGAUACUGCUAUGACUUGAGUCUGGUAGGGGAUCACGGAAUUCCUGGUGUAGCGGUGAAAUGCGCAGAUAUCAGGAGGAACACCGGUGGCGAAGGCGGUGAUCUGGGCCAGUACUGACGCUGAGGAGCGAAAGCGUGGGGAGCGAACAGG
rnacentral:rRNA from 1 species